rnacentral:rRNA from 1 species
GGAGAGGGCUGGCGUUAUUCGGAAUUAUUGGGCGUAAAGGGCGCGUAGGCGGAUUAGUAAGUUAAAAGUGAAAUCCCAAGGCUCAACCUUGGAAUUGCUUUUAAAACUGCUAAUCUAGAGAUUGAAAGAGGAUAGAGGAAUUCCUAGUGUAGAGGUGAAAUUCGUAAAUAUUAGGAGGAACACCAGUGGCGAAGGCGUCUAUCUGGUUCAAAUCUGACGCUGAGGCGCGAAGGCGUGGGGAGCAAACAGGAUUAGAUACCCUGGUAGUCCACGCUGUAAACGAUGAAUGUUAAAUAUGGGGAGUUUACUUUCUGUAUUACAGCUAACGCGUUAAACAUUCCGCCUGGGGACUACGGUCGCAAGAUUAAAACUCAAAGGAAUUGACGGGGACCCGCACAAGCGGUGGAGCAUGUGGUUUAAUUCGAUGCAACGCGAAAAACCUUACCACUCCUUGACAUGGAAAUUAUACCUAUUCGAAGGGAUAGGGUCGGUUCGGCCGGGUUUCACACAGGUGU